UAGAGUUUGAUCCUGGCUCAGGAUGAACGCUGGCGGCGUGCCUAAUACAUGCAAGUCGAGCGAACGGAUAAGGAGCUUGCUCCUUUGAAGUUAGCGGCGGACGGGUGAGUAACACGUGGGUAACCUACCUAUAAGACUGGAAUAACUUCGGGAAACCGGAGCUAAUGCCGGAUAACAUUUGGAACCGCAUGGUUCUAAAGUAAAAGAUGGUUUUGCUAUCACUUAUAGAUGGACCCGCGCCGUAUUAGCUAGUUGGUAAGGUAACGGCUUACCAAGGCAACGAUACGUAGCCGACCUGAGAGGGUGAUCGGCCACACUGGAACUGAGACACGGUCCAGACUCCUACGGGAGGCAGCAGUAGGGAAUCUUCCGCAAUGGACGAAAGUCUGACGGAGCAACGCCGCGUGAGUGAUGAAGGUUUUCGGAUCGUAAAACUCUGUUAUUAGGGAAGAACAAAUGUGUAAGUAACUGUGCACAUCUUGACGGUACCUAAUCAGAAAGCCACGGCUAACUACGUGCCAGCAGCCGCGGUAAUACGUAGGUGGCAAGCGUUAUCCGGAAUUAUUGGGC
rnacentral:rRNA from 1 species